AAUGAACGCUGGCGGCGUGCUUAACACAUGCAAGUCGAACGGUGAUCUUGGGAGCUUGCUCCUGGGUGAUCAGUGGCGAACGGGUGAGUAACACGUGAGUAACCUGCCCCUGACUCUGGAAUAACUUCGGGAAACCGAAGCUAAUACCGGAUAUGACACAGAGCCGCAUGGUUUCUGUGUGGAAAGUUUUUUCGGUUGGGGAUGGACUCGCGGCCUAUCAGCUUGUUGGUGAGGUAAUGGCUCACCAAGGCGACGACGGGUAGCCGGCCUGAGAGGGCGACCGGCCACACUGGGACUGAGACACGGCCCAGACUCCUACGGGAGGCAGCAGUGGGGAAUAUUGCACAAUGGGCGAAAGCCUGAUGCAGCGACGCCGCGUGAGGGAUGAAGGCCUUCGGGUUGUAAACCUCUUUCAGUAGGGACGAAGCGCAAGUGACGGUACCUACAGAAGAAGCACCGGCUAACUACGUGCCAGCAGCCGCCGUAAGAC
rnacentral:rRNA from 1 species